GACCGCGUAGCUCUGCGGUUGGCAGAGCAUUGGGCUAGUAUUCCAAAGGUCGUAGGUUCGAUUCCCACCGUGGACA